UCGGGAAUUUUGGGCAAUGGGCGAAAGCCUGACCCAGCAACGCCGCGUGAAGGAUGAAGUAUUUCGGUAUGUAAACUUCGUAAGAAUAGGAAGAAUAAAUGACGGUACUAUUUGUAAGGUCCGGCUAACUACGUGCCAGCAGCCGCGGUAAUACGUAGGGACCAAGCGUUGUUCGGAUUUACUGGGCGUAAAGGGCGCGUAGGCGGCGUGGUAAGUCAUCUGUGAAAUCUCCGAGCUUAACUCGGAACGGUCAGAUGAUACUGCUGUGCUAGAGUACAGAAGGGGCAAUCGGAAUUCUUGGUGUAGCGGUGAAAUGCGUAGAUAUCAAGAGGAACACCUGAGGUGAAGACGGGUUGCUGGGCUGAUACUGACGCUGAGGCGCGAAAGCUAGGGUAGCAAACGGGAUUAGAUACCCGUGUAGUCCCUGAGCGGGCUGGCAAGGCGCAU
rnacentral:rRNA from 1 species